GUCUGUCACCUCUCCCUCAUGUCUCUCUCUCUCUCUUCCUGUCACUCGUCCUCCUGCUCCCCCUGUUUCACCUGUUUGCACUCUACCGGCUGAUUACUGCUAUGAGUGUCAGCUGCAGCAAUCAGCUAAACACUACUCACCUGUUCUCCACCUCGCCUCAGCUAUAGAAGCUCUGUGCUUUCUUUCAGUCCCUGCUGGAUCAUCAACUCGCAAGUUGUCAUGGAUUCUGUUCCCCCAGCAAACCUACCACCGCUGGACUACUUCAGUAUUAUGGACACUUCUGAUUCCCCCUCUUGUACUCUGUUGUGCUCCUGUCAGUUUUGGACUUUCCCCUGGUUUUUGGGAUCAUGUUAAUCCUGGCCAGUCUCACCAGGAAAAACAAGUUCUAUCAGGGAUUCACACGAGGAUCCUCCAGCAUCUUCAGUCCAGCCAACUUUCUGGACCAGAUUCAGAAAAAAGGACUGGUCAUGGUGGUUUUUGGACUCGUGUUCAGUAAGCUGGUGAUCAGUCCAGACCCUCUGCCUUUCUGCAAAGACACUCCAGCUGACAUUAAAGAAAUCCAAGCACACAGAGACCUGCAUCCUCCUGUUGAAAGAUAAUCCAAAGAAAUUCUCUAAAAGUCACGAUUUUCUGUGGGAAUCAAUGUGUUUAGGCUUAUAUCGCCAAAUUUGAAGUGAAUCUGACCAUCCUGCUUGAAAUAGUACAUGAAAGUUUUUAUUUUUUUUUAU